rnacentral:rRNA from 1 species
CUCCAUGAAGCUGGAUUCGCUAGUAAUCGCGCAUCAGCCACGGCGCGGUGAAUACGUUCCCGGGCCUUGUACACACCGCCCGUCAAGCCAUGGAAGCCGGGGGGUGCCUGAAGUGCGCUGCCGCAAGGAGCGCCCUAGGGUAAAACCGGUGACUGGGGCUAAGUCGUAACAAGGUAUC